rnacentral:rRNA from 1 species
AGUGAACGCUGGCGGCAGGCCUAACACAUGCAAGUCGAGCGGCAGCGGGUCCUUCGGGAUGCCGGCGAGCGGCGGACGGGUGAGGAAUGCGUCGGAAUCUGCCUUUUUGUGGGGGAUAACGUAGGGAAACUUACGCUAAUACCGCAUACGACCUACGGGUGAAAGUGGGGGACCGCAAGGCCUCACGCAGAAAGAUGAGCCGACGUCGGAUUAGCUAGUUGGCGGGGUAAAGGCCCACCAAGGCGACGAUCCGUAGCUGGUCUGAGAGGAUGAUCAGCCACACUUGAACUGAGACACGGUCCAAGCUCCUACGGGAGGGAGCAGGUGGGAAUAUUGGACAAUGGGCGCAAGCCUGAUCCAGCCAUGCCGCGUGUGUGAAGAAGGCCUUCGGGUUGUAAAGCACUUUUGUCCGGAAAGAAAUCCUGUCGGCUAAUACCCGGCGGGGAUGACGGUACCGGAAGAAUAAGCACCGGCUAACUUCGUG